AUUGAUAGAGCGUCACUAAAUACAUACGUGAAUAUACAUUUUUAGUUUUAAUAUGAAUUAAAAUAUGUUUGUAUUUUUUUUUCUUAUUAUUAAUUUUUAUAAAUAUAAUUUUAAAAUAUUUCUAAAAGUUUCUGAUUAUACAUUUUUUUUAUAAUAUACAAUAGAUGAUAACAAUACAAAACAGUCUUCACUAUUGAGAAUAUACUAAGAAAUCCAAAAUAAUAAAUAAAAAUUUGAUAAUUUAAAUAUAAUUUUCGUUAUUUUUUAAAAAAUAUUUUUCUUUACAUGCGAUCCAAUAUAUUCAUUUUAACUUUCUUAAUGCAAAAAAAUGCCUUUAAGCUAUGUUAAUACCAAGAACUAGUCAAAAGAAUGUACUUGACUCCAGAGAAGUCAAAGAUCGACAAUAGGAGAACACGAGCCACGCCCAAGUGCCGAUGAUCGAGCGCAACAAAACGAUCCGAUUUUGUUCGGGAUGUAGAGAAAACAGCGGCAGCACAUGAAUGGAAGUAGUAAAGGUGUUGGCUGAGGAUAACCAUGAACAUCGAUGCGAUUGUUCCGUCAUGGAUAGUCGGCUUCUUUUCAAGAUUCACUCGUUUGCCCUCGUUUCUUUCUCUCUUUUUCCUUCUCAUUCCACUAUCGUUGUCAAAAAUUGCUGAAUGUUCUUUUCAGAAAAAUCAAGAUCAUUCCACGCAUGUUCUAUCAAUUUCGAGUACAAAGAGCCAACUUAAAGAAAUCCGUUUACUAUUAUUUUUAUUUUUUGAUUUUUGCAAUAAUUUUAAGAAAUAUUUAUUAUCAAUAGAGAUAUUCGGCUUUUAUACUUGUCAUUAAAAUUUAUGUUUUAUUUCGUUUGUUUUAUGUAGAUUCGAUGAAAAUAAUUUUUUUCUUACAACAAAUUUUAUCUUAACAAUCAAAUCCACUCUUUCUUUUAAAUUUUUCAAAUGUAUAUUUAUUUGUAAAAAAAAUGUUCAUUGUUUUACAACUAUUAUAAAUACUGAAAUAAAACUAAAUAAAUUAUUUGAAAGAAAAGAGAAA